rnacentral:rRNA from 1 species
UACAGAGGUCUCAAGCGUUGUUCGGAUUCAUUGGGCGUAAAGGGUGCGUAGGCGGCGCGGUAAGUCGGGUGUGAAAUCUCGGAGCUUAACUCCGAAACUGCAUUCGAUACUGCCGUGCUUGAGGACUGGAGAGGAGACUGGAAUUUACGGUGUAGCGGUGAAAUGCGCAGAUAUCGGGAAGAACCCCCGUGGCGAAGGCGGUUCUCUGGGACGGUACUGACGCUGAGACGCGAAAGCGUGGGGAGCGAACAGG